GUUACCACUCUUAAGUUAAUUGAGUAAGCACCAUUUCCCUUAACUUGCCAAGCUGUUGCCUUUAUUUAAAACACUUGUGUGGAGGUCAACGACCAGCAGGUGGUGCUGUGGGACAGCUAACUAGAGGGAAGGCAUCAAGGUCAGAGCUGAGGGUGUGAGUAAUCAGCAGAAGAGUCAAAUAACUGUGGAGAGAAAACCAUAUUUGAUUCAGUGUGUCAGAUUCUGAUAACUCUAUCCCCCGGCUCUGCGGCAGCUGAUGAAUUAAACCCUCUAUAACACAGAAACCAAAGGGAGGAGAAGGAUGGACAGACUGGACAAACAGACUCCCACGAGGCCCCACUGUUUCCUUCUUCCGGCUUUAUCAUUACCACCUGGAUUGUUAGGAAAUGAGGAGGAGGUAGACGCCGAAGGAGAGACAUCUACAGCCGGCGCUGCUUCUUAAAAUAAUGUCAGUCUUCUUGAGGCAGACAAACUGCUCAAUUGGCUUUUAAAGAGCGAGGACGGAAUUUAAUGUUUGUCCCAAAACGCUUUAUUUACCUGCAUUUACUUGAUAAUGGCGGGAAGAAAAAAACACACAACAAGGCUUCUCGCGCUGAUUGACAUUCAGUGCUGCUCAUCACUCUGUUCAUUAUUAUUAUUUCCCUUCUCCCCCCUCGCAGCUUUAAC